ACUUAUCCUGUGGAAGAGGAGGCUUCCAGCAGGGGGCUGGCAGGCUGAAACCCGCCCCAAUACCAGUGCCUUUGGAGGUGGCCUGCUGACCUCCCAGUGUGGGGCUGCCUGCUUGGCACACAGUGGGGGCUCUGAGAACAUGGGCUGAAACAGAACUUGGGGAAAUGGCUUUUCUUAGCUAGAGCAGCCUAUCCCUGUAGGCCCCCUGGAAUCAGCCAGAUCCCUGGUUCCAGCCCCUCCCCCCGCUGCCUCUGAUGAGCCAACAGGGCCAGUCCCCUCCACCAGGAAGCCCUGCAUUGAUCUUGGCUCCCAACAGAGCCAUCUCCUCUGAGCCUGUUCUAACACUUAGAAAGCAGGUAACAGGCUGGGCAUGGUGGCUCAUGCCUGUAAUCCCAGCACUUUAGGAGGCUGAGGUGGGUGGAUCACCUGAGGUCAGGAGUUCAAGACCAGCCUGGCCAACAUAGUGAAACCUGGUUUCUACUAAAAAUACAAAAAUUAGCCAGGCGUGGUGGCACACACCUGUAAUCCCAGCUACUCAGGAAGCUGAGGCAGGGGAAUCGCUUGGACCCAGGAGGCAGAGGUUACAGUGAGCUGAGAUUGCUCCAUUGAACUCUAGCCUGGGCAACAGAGCAAGACUCCGUCUCAACAAAAAAAGAAAAGAAAACAGGUAACAGCCCCUCCACAGGGCUGUGUGAGGAGAGGAGCAGCAAGCAGGCAGCUCAGCCCAACCUGGGCACAGCUAGUGCCCAUGGACUCUGGCUGUGUCAGGGGAGUGCUGUCUUGCCCAUGGCUGCAUCCCACACCCUUGGUCCAGUGCCUGGCAUGCAGCUGGCGCUUGACAGUAGGAAGCCACCCCAUGCCUAGGGUGGCCCAAAUGUGCUGUCAGGUUGGGAGCAGGCUGAGCCCUUGGCCGAUCCCUGGCUUCUGCUGCUCAGAACACCACUGGCUUUCUGUUCUCUCCUAAUUCUCUCACCCUCUCGGCCUUGUUUGGGGACAUCCCUCUUCCUCACCUUCAGGAUCACCUUGCCAGGUGCAAUAUAUGUGUUUAAGAAGCAGACAAAUUUAUUAAAUAAAAGAAUGAAGCAAUGAAUGAGGUAUAGGGGCAACCAAGCUUACUGGCACGGGCAUGGAUUCAUGUGGUGGCUCCUGGAGGCAGGCAGGACAAGGGCAGCUGCAGACCACUCACCUGGGCCUUGCCCUCCAUCUUCUUAGGGGCCGUCAGGGUUCCUUCAGAGGGUGCCCAAGGGCUCCUCCUUCCCCUGGGCCUCUGGCCACCUCGAUCCCCAGCCUACCUGUUGAUCUCCCCUGUACUCGCCAAAGUGGAAGACUCGGGCUUUGAGCUCCAGCUCAGCUGCUGUGUCCUCCUCCUUGGUGAUGGACAUCAUCAUCGUGGUGACCCACUGCUUCAGCUGGUUGACCUCCCUGUCCCUGGAGGAGUGGAAAACAAGCAGGUAAUCAUUCACUCAGCAUGGCCCUGGGUACAUUGCUUCUCUGAGCCUGACCAUCUAUAUAGUGCUUUGUCCCUACCAGCUGUCCUGAGGACUGAAGGAUCAUGGGUGCCAAGUCUCUGCAUGUCCAGGGAGUCAAAAAUGCUGGUAGAAUGCAGGAGGAAUUUAAAAUAUUUAACCAUCAACAUUAAAGAAAAUAAACAGUUUUAUUGGGGCGUAAUUCACAGACAAUAAAAUUAACUAUCAUA